rnacentral:lncRNA from 1 species
AUGGGGUCUGGAUUGCACCAAGACUCAAAAAGAGGGCAAAGGCUGCUUUGUCGCUUGCAGGCCACACAGGAGGGGAGGAGAGAGCAAGGACCCAGUGACAUGGAAGCCAUGGCCUCCCAGUUCUGCUGUCACUUUUGCGAAGUCCUGAGAAGAAAUCCCUGGAACUCCUUGUCACACGUGACAAGAUCAGGUUGCUCUGAGCUAGGCAUCAAGGGAGAGAAUCAGCAGAGAAAGGCAGACAGAGGACAAGGGACAAGGCCAAGCCCAGUGGCUGGGUGAGGAGACAGUUCCGUCAAAGGGUACCUGAAGGCCAAGGAGAAGAGAGGAGACACCUUGGCGUUCCUGGCCUGGGUGCACCUGUGCUCCCGGAAGUGCGCCGCCCUACUUCUGGCUCUGGAGGGCGGGACUCCCUUUGCCAUCUGGGCUGAGCCCCCAGUCCCAGAUGAUGAGCCAGCUGGAGGGGAGGGAGUGGGAUGCCCUGAGCGACGGGUCAGGAGCCACUGAUAAGCGAUGCUAGUUACUCCAGACCCUCCCUGGCCUCCAUGCUUCUGUCUUCUUGGAAGACCUGCUGACUCAGAGGGGUCACAGGGACCAGUCCUGGAGACGCCAGACAACAGGACUCGGGGCUUGAGGUGGCCGAAAGAUCCACCCUCGCGGGGCCGAAGGAGUCUGACACCCAAUCUGAAGUCUCAGACCCGAGGGUGGGGGAGGGCUCCAGGACCUUUCUGCCAUGGUGUCUGAGAGUCUGGGGCAGGGGCCCAGCCCCACCCUGCCCCAAGGAGCACCUGCACCCCCUCAGCCCCUCAGCUUCCUUCAUGCUCCCUGGAAUGACAUCUCUUGGGAGGGGGGCAACUUGCAGCCCAAGUCACCCUUCUCAGAGACAGAGAUGGUUUGAGAAGGCGCUGGCAGGUUGAGGCUGGCUGGCUGGCUAGACUUGCUAAUUUAUAAGAUAGUCCCCAUGAUGUGAUAGAACUCAUAAAGUGGUAUAUGGUUGUACGGGUGUUUGCCAUGCCAUUGUUAACCUUUACUGCCUGCUUGUUUUUCGUUUUUUUUUUUUUCUUCGUUUUUUUUUUUUAAUUUUGUAUCAAAAUAUCAGGAAAGAGGGGGAAAAAUUCUUUUUUUAAAAAAUUUAUUUAUUUAUUUGAAAGUCAGUGUUACACAGACGGAGAAGAAGACGCAGAGAGAGAGAGAGAGAGAGAGAUAAAGAGAGAGGUCUUCCAUGUGAUGGUUCUCUCCCCAGAUGGGGGAACUUCCAUAGCGAUCCAUCGGAUCGGCUCAGUUCUGGCCAUUGCAACCAUGUGGGGAGUGACCAGUGGAUGAAGACCUUGCUCUCUCUCUCUCUCCCUUCCCACACUUAAUAAAUAAAAUGAUUUCAUCA